rnacentral:rRNA from 1 species
UUGGCGGACGGGUGAGUAACGCGUGGGUAACCUGCCUUACACAGGGGGAUAACACUUAGAAAUAGGUGCUAAAACCGCAUAAGCGCACAGCUUCGCAUGAAGCGGUGUGAAAAACUCCGGUGGUGUAAGAUGGACCCGCGUCUGACUAGCUUGUUGGCGGGGUAACGGCCCACCAAGGCGACGAUCAGUAGCCGGCCUGAGAGGGCGGACGGCCACAUUGGGACUGAGACACGGCCCAGACUCCUACGGAAGGCAGCAG